rnacentral:rRNA from 1 species
AUGACGAUCCUAAGUUGGAACUGUCGAGGCCUCGGGCAACCUCGAACAGUUCAGGAACUCGUGUGUCUCGUGCACACGUACAAGCCCAAGCUCGUCUUCCUCUCUGAAACCCGGCAAAAGAAUAAAUAUGUCAGCAAUCUGAAGUGGAGGCUAGGCCUUCGUCACUGUAUCACGCAACCCGGCACUAGUAAAGGUGUCGGCAUUGCCCUCUUUUACGAUGAGAAUAUUGAA